rnacentral:rRNA from 1 species
UACAGAGGGUGCAAGCGUUAAUCGGAAUUACUGGGCGUAAAGGGCGCGUAGGUUGUUAUUUAAGUUUGAUGUGAAAUCCCUGGGCUUAACCUAGGACCUGCAUUGAAGACUGGGUAACUGGAGUACUGUAGAGGGUAGUGGAAUUUCCGGUGUAGCGGUGAAAUGCGUAGAGAUCGGAAGGAACACCAGUGGCGAAGGCGGCUACCUGGACAGAUACUGACACUGAGGCGCGAGAGCGUGGGGAGCAAACAGG